GACGAACGCUGGCGGCGUGCCUAAUACAUACAAGUAGAACGCUGAAGGAGGAGCUUGCUUCUCUGGAUGAGUUGCGAACGGGUGAGUAACGCGUAGGUAACCUGCCUGGUAGCGGGGGAUAACUAUUGGAAACGAUAGCUAAUACCGCAUAAUAGUAGAUGUUGCAUGACAUUUGCUUAAAAGGUGUAAUUGCAUCACUACCAGAUGAACCUGCGUUGUAUUAGCUAGUUGGUGGGGUAACGGCUCACCAAGGCGACGAUACAUAGCCGACCUGAGAGGGUGAUCGGCCACACUGGGACUGAGACACGGCCCAGACUCCUACGGGAGGCAGCAGUAGGGAAUCUUCGGCAAUGGACGGAAGUCUGACCGAGCAACGCCGCGUGAGUGAAAAAGGUUUUCGGAUCGUAAAGCUCUGUUGUAAGAGAAGAACGAGUGUGAGAGUGGAAAGUUCACACUGUGACGGUAUCUUACCAGAAAGGGACGGCUAACUACGUGC
rnacentral:rRNA from 1 species